UCUUGGGUGGAUAAUACGGAUUACGUUGUUAUUGCUUAAGAAUACGCGUAGUCGAGGAGAGUACCAGCGGCAGGCGGGCAGCAGCCGCCCCUGCCAGCCCACCAGCUGGCCACUAAAAGCUCCCGGUUGCCAAGGAAAAUCUUGGAGAGCCCCCUGAGCUUUGUGAGGUGACAGCAUUCACCAGUACACAAGCACAGCUGAGCUGUAUGAAAAUAAGAGACUGGGAAGACAUUGAAUUAAGACAUAUAUGGAACAAAUAGGCAUCAAGCAGAUUUGGGUUAACUGAUAUGGAACAGAAGAACUGGGAGCCAAGAAAGAGAUGAAGAGGUGAUAUGCAGACAAUGGUAAUAAUCUCUCACACUAAAACUCUUUCUGACUACUGGUAACAGUUUCAUCUGUAUGUUAGCAUACCUAAUACAUCAGUUAUGUGAUGUAACUGUGACUCCUCCUAUUUUAUGAACUAGAAACCAAUG
rnacentral:lncRNA from 1 species